UUGUACACACCGCCCGUCACGUCAUGAAAGUUGGUAACACCCGAAGCCAGUGGCCUAACCCUUGUGGGGGGAGCUGUCGAAGGUGGGAUCGGCGAUUGGGACGAAGUCGUAACAAGGUAGCCGUACCGGAAGGUGCGGCUGGAUCACCUCCUUU
rnacentral:rRNA from 1 species